CUACGGGACGCUGCAGUGAGGAAUAUUGCACAAUGGGGGGAACCCUGAUGCAGCAACGCCGCGUGGAGGAUGACGCAUUUCGGUGUGUAAACUCCUUUUAUAUGUCAAGAAAAUGACGGUAGCAUAUGAAUAAGCACCGGCUAACUCCGUGCCAGCAGCCGCGGUAAUACGGAGGGUGCAAGCGUUACUCGGAAUCACUGGGCGUAAAGGACGCGUAGGCGGUGUGGAAAGUCAGGUGUGAAAUCCUACAGCUUAACUGUAGAACUGCACUUGAAACUUCUAAUCUAGAGUAUGGGAGGGGGAGAUGGAAUUAGUGGUGUAGGGGUAAAAUCCGUAGAUAUCACUAGGAAUACCUAAAGCGAAGGCGAUCUCCUGGAACAUUACUGACGCUAAGGCGUGAAAGCGUGGGGAGCAAACAGGAUUAGAUACCCCGGUAGUC
rnacentral:rRNA from 1 species